GCUGGGCACGGUGGUUCGUGCCUAUAGUUCCACCUACUCGGGAGGCUGAGGUGGGAGGAUCGCUUGAGCCCAGGAGCUCUGGGCUGUAGUGCGCUAUGCCAAUCGGGUGUCCGCACUAAGUUCAGCAUCAAUAUGGUGACCUCCUGGGAGCAGGAGACCACCAGGUUGCCUAAGGAGGGGUGCAUCGGCCCAGGUUGGAAACAGAGCAGGUCAAAAAUCCCGUGCUGAUCAGUAGUGGGAUGGCGCCUGUGAAUAGCCACUGCACUCCAGCCUGGGCAACAUAGCGAAACCCCAUCUCU
rnacentral:SRP_RNA from 1 species